rnacentral:tRNA from 1 species
GCGCCCAUAGCUCAACCGGAUAGAGCACCGCACUUCUAAUGCGGGGGUUGCAGGUUCGAGUCCUGCUGGGCGUGCCA